GGCGAACGCUGGCGGCGUGCUUAACACAUGCAAGUCGAACGGAAAGGCCCUGCUUUUGUGGGGUGCUCGAGUGGCGAACGGGUGAGUAACACGUGAGUAACCUGCCCUUGACUUUGGGAUAACUUCAGGAAACUGGGGCUAAUACCGGAUAGGAGCUCCUGCUGCAUGGUGGGGGUUGGAAAGUUUCGGCGGUUGGGGAUGGACUCGCGGCUUAUCAGCUUGUUGGUGGGGUAGUGGCUUACCAAGGCUUUGACGGGUAGCCGGCCUGAGAGGGUGACCGGCCACAUUGGGACUGAGAUACGGCCCAGACUCCUACGGGAGGCAGCAGUGGGGAAUAUUGCACAAUGGGCGGAAGCCUGAUGCAGCAACGCCGCGUGCGGGAUGACGGCCUUCGGGUUGUAAACCGCUUUCGCCUGUAACGAAGCGUGAGUGACGGUAAUGGGUAAAGAAGCACCGGCUAACUACGUG
rnacentral:rRNA from 1 species